UGUUUAAAGCAGCCGUAAGCAAAGUGGUUGCUCGCUCAUAGAAUGACUCAGAGAACUGAUCACUCCAUCCCUUUACACGAAACGACAUUCUGUUGAUUUUCCUAAGUUAUCUACAUCAACUAUGAAAAAUGUCAAAUUUUUUUGUAAGGAACCGUCUAGUAUAGACUAAGUAACUAACGCUUUAGAUCAAUUUCUUUACAAAAUUUUUAUUAAAUUCGGAUAGGGAAACGACAACUUCCAUACAGUGGCGGACAGUAAAUAAACAUCGAUAGGCUGGCUGAUGCACUAGUGCGGCAUACUGAACCUUGAUAUAGCCAAGAUAAGGAUAGGGUCGAUCGUACUGUAUAUGAACGAAGGUGUAUUAGAAUGCAU